UUAAUUUUGAACGAGUGGCGGACGGGUGAGUAACACGUGGGUAACCUGCCCUUAAGUGGGGGAUAACAUUUGGAAACAGAUGCUAAUACCGCAUAAAUCCAAGAACCGCAUGGUUCUUGGCUGAAAGAUGGCGUAAGCUAUCGCUUUUGGAUGGACCCGCGGCGUAUUAGCUAGUUGGUGAGGUAACGGCUCACCAAGGCAAUGAUACGUAGCCGAACUGAGAGGUUGAUCGGCCACAUUGGGACUGAGACACGGCCCAAACUCCUACGGGAGGCAGCAGUAGGGAAUCUUCCACAAUGGACGCAAGUCUGAUGGAGCAACGCCGCGUGAGUGGAAGAAGGCUUUCGGGUCGUAAAACUCUGGUUUGUUGGGA
rnacentral:rRNA from 2 species